rnacentral:rRNA from 1 species
UACGUAGGGGGCAAGCGUUGUCCGGAAUCAUUGGGCGUAAAGAGCGCGUAGGCGGUCCGGUAAGUCCGCUCUGAAAGUCCGGGGCUCAACCCCGGGAGGCGGGCGGAUACUGUCGGGCUAGAGUCCGGAAGAGGCGAGUGGAAUUCCCGGUGUAGCGGUGAAAUGCGCAGAUAUCGGGAGGAACACCAAUGGCGAAGGCAGCUCGCUGGGACGUGACUGACGCUGAGGCGCGAAAGCGUGGGGAGCGAACAGG